UGGGGAAUAUUGCGCAAUGGACGAAAGUCUGACGCAGCGACGCCGCGUGGGUGACGAAGGUUUUCGGAUCGUAAAACCCUGUCAGAGGGAACGAACUAACCUUGGGGAAUAAUACCCCCUUGGCCUGACGGUACCCUCAGAGGAAGCACCGGCUAACUCCGUGCCAGCAGCCGCGGUAAAACGGAGGGUGCAAGCGUUGUUCGGAAUUACUGGGCGUAAAGCGCUCGUAGGCUGGACAGGAAGUUGGGUGUGAAAGCCCUCGGCUCAACCGAGGAAUUGCGCCCAAAACCACUGACCUAGAGUAUCGGAGAGGAUCGGGGAAUUCCCAGUGUAGAGUUGAAAUUCGUAGAUAUUGGGAGGAACACCGGUAGCGAAGGCGCUGAUCUGGACGAUAACUGACGCUGAGGAGCGAAAGCGUGGGUAGCAAACAGG
rnacentral:rRNA from 1 species